rnacentral:rRNA from 1 species
UACGUAGGGUGCGAGCGUUGUCCGGAAUUAUUGGGCGUAAAGGGCUCGUAGGCGGUUUGUUACGUCGGGAGUGAAAACCCAGGGCUCAACCCUGGGCCUGCUUCCGAUGCGGGCAGACUAGAGGUAUGCAGGGGAGAAUGGAAUUCCUGGUGUAGCGGUGAAAUGCGCAGAUAUCAGGAGGAACACCGGUGGCGAAGGCGGUUCUCUGGGCAUUACCUGACGCUGAGGAGCGAAAGUGUGGGGAGCGAACAGG